rnacentral:rRNA from 1 species
AUGGAGGAGGAGGCCGCGGAGGUGGAGGUAAUUCGUGCUCCCAAGAGGCAUAGAUCUGUGGGAAUCGCUGACCAGCAAGUACCACCAAGGGUCAACAACAAGGAGCGGGGAAGUCUUGACGACCUAGAUCUCAUUAGCCGCCUUCCCGAUUUCUGGCUUGGAACCAUCAUCUCCCUCCUUCCCACCAAGGAUGGUGCCCGCACGCAAGCCAUCUCUCGUCGGUGGCGUCCUCUCUGGCGCUCCUCCAAUGCGCCUCUCAACCUUGGCGCUGAUAAUAAUCUUUGUGACAGCAAUUCGCGUGUCGCGCUGGUCUCCAGGAUCCUCUCCGACCAUCCCGGCCCGGCCCGUCGAGUCUCGCUGCACCUCAUCUUCUUCCCCAACAUCCUAGGCGAGGUCGACGGUUGGUUUCACUCCAGGGCGCUCACUGGCCUCCAGGACCUCGAGGUCACCAACUUGAAGAGGACGAACCACUACCCGCUGCCUCCGCACUCGCUGACACGCUUCGCGCCCACACUGUUUGUGCUUAGGCUUGGCGGCUGCCAAUUCCCCGGCCUGUCUGCGCUGCCAAGUUUUUCGCACCUCAAGCAGCUCAUCCUGUUCGAUGUUGGCAUCUCGGAGGACUCUUUGCAAAACAUGAUCUCCCGAUGUGUUGUUCUGGAAAGUGUCUCACUACAUAACAUGGGCUUUGGUCGCCUUUGCAUUAGCUCGCCCACUCUCAAGAGCAUCGGCUUCUAUGCUCCUCGCGUCAAAGAUGCCAUCACCUUCCAGGAGCUGGUCAUUGACGAUGCACCUUGCCUUGAGAGGUUGCUACCGAUUUAUCCAGAUGAUGGUCCGGUGACCAUACGAGUCAUCCGGGCUCCUAAAUUGGAGGUACUUGGUUUUUUGUCUGAAGGCAUAUCUACACUCCCCCUUGGAACCACAGUCUUUCAGAAAAUGAUUGCUGUCACCAUGACAACCAAAAUGCGCUCAGUGAAGAUUUUGGUUCUUGAAUCUAGUCCUAAUCUGGAUUUAGUUAUUGACUUCCUCAUGUGCUUUCCCUGCUUGGUGAAGCUCUAUGUCAUUUUGAAUGCAGGAAAGAAUAUGAAUAUUGUGCGGAAGUAUGAUCAAUUUGAUACAAUUGAAUGCCUUGAACUCCAUCUAAAAGAAGUGGUUCUCAAGAAUUACUGCGGUGGUUAUAGAGCAUUUUUUGACUUUGCCAAGUUCUUUCUUUUGAAUGCCAAAGUGCUGAAUAAAAUGGAAAUCGGAGGCUCUUAUUACCGCAACGACGACUGUUAUUUAAGGCUGCUACAAGUGGAGAAUAGAGCCUCUCAAGAUGCGCGAAUUGAAGUAAACAGAAAUAUAUUCACUCGCCAGUACAUACCCAUGAUUUGUCAAUGGCUGAUCCCUUUGACUGAUUCGUAUGUGGAUUCUCCAAGUGUGUUAGACUGUGUUGCCCUUUGUCCAAAGUCAAAAAAAAGUGGCUGCCUUUGCUUGUCUGUCUAG